rnacentral:rRNA from 1 species
CCUAUGGGGUGCAGCAGUGGGGAAUAUUGGACAAUGGGGGGAACCCUGAUCCAGCCAUGCCGCGUGUGUGAAGAAGGCCUUUUGGUUGUAAAGCACUUUAAGCGAGGAGGAGGCUACCGAGAUUAAUACUCUUGGAUAGUGGACGUUACUCGCAGAAUAAGCACCGGCUAACUCUGUGCCAGCAGCCGCGGUAAUACAGAGGGUGCAAGCGUUAAUCGGAUUUACUGGGCGUAAAGCGCGCGUAGGUGGUUCGUUAAGUUGGAUGUGAAAGCCCCGGGCUCAACCUGGGAACUGCAUCCAAAACUGGCGAGCUAGAGUACGGUAGAGGGUGGUGGAAUUUCCUGUGUAGCGGUGAAAUGCGUAGAUAUAGGAAGGAACACCAGUGGCGAAGGCGACCACCUGGGCUAAUACUGACACUGAGGUGCGAAAGCGUGGGGAGCAAACAGGAUUAGAUACCCAUGUAGUCC